CUAGGGUCUCACCCACUUGCUCAUCAAUGUCACCCAGCCCUCUCACUUCUCACCCCUGGUAGAGACAGCACUGGAUCCCUUCCACCCACAACUAAUCAGUCACAUUGUCCUUUUGAUUCAGUAUUAGUUCUGGGGUAAAACCAAGACAUAAGCUUGAACGUCAGGACAGCUCAGCUUCCCUGCCUUUUGGUCCCAGCUCCAGGACUGAUCCAAGGCUUCUUGGUUAGAAGGAGCCAGGUUCUCAGUGGUCUCUGGCAGACCCAGCCACAUCAGCAUCCCUGACUCUCAGUAAACUCAGAACCUGUGCUGAAGCGGACAGUGGGUUCAAUCCCUCUAUGAAGUGCUCACAAUGGGAUGAACGAUGGCUCCUGGUAAAACUGGUGACCCUGGGAUUUGUCUCCAUAUCUUAGCAAUCUGUUCUGUAGUUCAUCAAAGAAACGAUUAUUAAGAAAUGUUUGAAGAGAGGGAGACAGGCUUCA
rnacentral:lncRNA from 1 species